rnacentral:ncRNA from 19 species
AAACUAUAUAGCGGUACAGGUGCCCUUCGGGGCUUAAUAGGGAAGUCCGGUGCAAAGCCGGCGCGGUCCCGCCACUGUAAUGGGGAGUGAACCCAAGGAUAUGCCACUGGGACGAGGAGUCCUGGGAAGGUUUGGGCGAGCGAUGAGCCAGAGUCAGGAGAACUGCCUGUACAACAAUCACCGUU